rnacentral:lncRNA from 1 species
CGGCCGCGCGGCGGCGUGGCCGGAGUGUCAGCGCGGCGUGUCCCCGCCGGCGGCUGAGUCAGGGCGGCCGCCCCCGCCCCCUGCCGUGCCCUUCCCUUCCCUCCCCGGCAUCCGUGUGGGAGCGGCGGGGGCGGCUCGGCGCUUCCUCCUGCAUGAGGUCACACGGCGGGGGAGGGAGCUGCCUCCCCGGUGCUGUCCCCGCUCCCCACCGGGCUGAGUUCUUCCCCAUGUCAGCCAAUCCCAAUUGGCAGAUGGGCUCUGGAAGCAAGUGAUGUGUUCCUGGACCUUGCUGGUUAUUGCUCAUGGCCCUUUGUCUGGAGCAUUUAUGGCUGUGCCUGAGUCACUGCAGUUCCAGUCCUGCUGUGCCUGCUCCAUGGAAGGCUUCAGAGGCUGUCGGCAGUGUUGAUGUUUGCACUGCUGCCAUAGCAAACUGCUUCAUGGGGUCAGGGAAACCUCAAACAUCCCUAGCGAAGCCAAAGGGCAGAGCCUGGAAAAAAUCAGAAAACACAAGAGAGAAUGUUUUCUGCUUGAGAGGAUAACAUACAGGUCUAUGCAUUCCACCACUUGGAAAGGUAUAUUUAAUAUAUUAUAUAUUUUGAGUUUUCUCAGCGUCAUGAUUGAUUUUACUAUUCAGUAUAAAACUUAACUGAUCAAUUUGAAUUUCUGCUAUCAAAAUCAGAUACUUAGAAGCUGAACUGUCAAACAAUAAAAUGAGAAGCAGACAGCCUGUAAAUGUUGUA